rnacentral:rRNA from 1 species
CAUGAGGAAUUUAACAGUGUGAGGUGUUUCAGCUUGGAUUUGUUGACGAUCUCAUUAACCCCCUGGGUUAUGCUGCAGCUCAUGAAUGAGUGCAGGAGAAGUUGGCUCAUUGUGAAAAAUCCUUGUUGUUGACCAGAUCAUUGGAAAAUUGUUCAUAGGUUAUGCUGUAAAGGUUGUCAUUGCUUAUGGCGUAGAAAUUGUACUGCCAAGGUUGCUAGCAACUGCUGUUUGUGUAUUUAUCAAGCAGGGAGUGCGAUAGAAAUACGCUGCAUAGACGAUCGAACCCAAAACGGUGCGUGUCCUAAUAGCAUAGUGUUGAUUGUGUCUACUCGGAAUUCAGUGCUUGCACUGCACGUCUGAAGUGACAUAUCAACAUCGGUGAUGUCAAGGUGGAGAACACUUCUGCUGCAUCAGAUGGAUGUAGCAGGACAUACCGAAUGGAAAGUAAAUGCGUUAGGUGCGUG